rnacentral:rRNA from 1 species
GGAAGGAUCAUUACCGAGUGAGGGCCCUUUGGGUCCAACCUCCCACCCGUGUUUAUUUACCUCGUUGCUUCGGCGGGCCCGCCUUAACUGGCCGCCGGGGGGCUCACGCCCCCGGGCCCGCGCCCGCCGAAGACACCCCCGAACUCUGCCUGAAGAUUGUCGUCUGAGUGAAAAUAUAAAUUAUUUAAAACUUUCAACAACGGAUCUCUUGGUUCCGGCAUCGAUGAAGAACGCAGCGAAAUGCGAUACGUAAUGUGAAUUGCAAAUUCAGUGAAUCAUCGAGUCUUUGAACGCACAUUGCGCCCCCUGGUAUUCCGGGGGGCAUGCCUGUCCGAGCGUCAUUGCUGCCCUCAAGCCCGGCUUGUGUGUUGGGCCCCGUCCUCCGAUUCCGGGGGACGGGCCCGAAAGGCAGCGGCGGCACCGCGUCCGGUCCUCGAGCGUAUGGGGCUUUGUCACCCGCUCUGUAGGCCCGGCCGGCGCUUGCCGAUCAACCCAAAUUUUUAUCCAGGUUGACCUCGGAUCAGGUAGGGAUACCCGCUGAACU